rnacentral:rRNA from 1 species
CCUACGGGACGCAGCAGUGGGGAAUAUUGGGCAAUGGGCGCAAGCCUGACCCAGCAACGCCGCGUGAAGGAAGAAGGCUUUCGGGUUGUAAACUUCUUUUGUCAGGGACGAAGCAAGUGACGGUACCUGACGAAUAAGCCACGGCUAACUACGUGCCAGCACCCGCGGUAAUACGUAGGUGGCAAGCGUUAUCCGGAUUUACUGGGUGUAAAGGGCGUGUAGGCGGGACUGCAAGUCAGAUGUGAAAACCACGGGCUCAACCUGUGGCCUGCAUUUGAUACUGUAGUGCUUGAGUACUGGAGCGGCAGACGGAAUUCCUGGUGUAGCGGUGAAAUGCGUAGAGAUUAGGAGGAACACCAGUGGCGAAGGCAGUCUGCUGGACAGCAACUGACGCUGAGGCGCGAAAGCGUGGGGAGCAAACAGGAUUAGAUACCCGGGUAGUC